UACGUAGGGUGCGAGCGUUAAUCGGAAUUACUGGGCGUAAAGUGUGCGCAGGCGGCGUUGCAAGUCGAGUGUGAAAGCCCCGAGCUUAACUUGGGAAUUGCGCUCGAAACUACGAUGCUGGAGUGUGGCAGAGGAAGGUGGAAUUCCAGGUGUAGCGGUGAAAUGCGUAGAGAUCUGGAGGAACACCGAUGGCGAAGGCAGCCUUCUGGGCCAACACUGACGCUCAUGCACGAAAGCGUGGGGAGCAAACAGG
rnacentral:rRNA from 1 species